UGCAAGUCGAGCGAUGAGGCUCCCUUCGGAGGGUUCUCCGGGGAAGGGGGGAGUAACACGUGUGUGACUUGCCCCCCAGAUGGGGAUAUCCUCUGGGAAAGGGGGCUAUUACCCCGUGUGCACUUGGUCUCGGUUCAUCACGUAAAGCGGCUCCGCUUCUCUGGAAGCCUGCUGCCCAUCAUCUAGUUGUUGGGGUAACAACCUACCAAGGCAGAGACGGGUAGGGGGCGUGAGAGAGCGUACCCCCACACUGGGACUGUGAUACGGGCCCCACUCCUCUACGAGGGGCCACUAAGGGAAAUUGUGCACUGUGCAAAAAAGUCAGAUGCAGACACCCCGCGUGCAAUAAAAGCCUUCUCGUUGUGUAGACUUUUUUUGGGGGAAAAGAGGAAGGACGGUACCCCUGGAAUAAGUGUCGGCUAACUACGUGCCAGCAGCCGCGGUAAGACGUAGGACACAAGCGUUAUCCGGAUUCACUGGGCGUAAAGAGUCUUGAGGCGGUUCCGUAAGUUGGGCGUGAAAGCUCCGGGCUUAACUCGGAGAUGUCGUUCAAUACUGCGUGUCUUGAGGACAGUCAGAGGAAGAGUGGAAUUCCCGGAGUAGUGGUGAAAUGCGUAGAUAUCGGGAGGAACACCCAUGGCGAAGGCAGCCUUCUGGGGCUGAUCCUGACGCUGAGAGACGAAAGCUAGGGGAGCGAACGAGGAUUAGAUGACCCCUGGUAGUCCUAGCUCCUAAACGAUGGAUGCUGGGAUGUGGGGGCUUUACAUCCCUCUGGAAAGAAGCAAAUGCAUCAUGCAUCCCGAGUACUGCCGUCGCAAGCAAGAUAUAUCAAUCGAAUGGAUGGGCCGGCGCCCGCACAAGCAGGGGAGUGUUUUAUUUAGUUGGUUCCCACAGAACGAACCUUACGUGGGUCAUAUAUGCGCGAGUUAGGGGAAUGAAAGGCGACCCAUCGUCGGGAGUAGACACAUGUCGCACAUCUCUCUUCUCAUCGUGUACUGUGAGGUCUGGGUUAAAGCCGUAUAGAGAGCACACCUCUUCCUCUGAUAUACAUGUCUGAAGGGACACUCCCCGCUACACCGGGGGGGAGGGGGGGGGUGACGACAUCUCCACAUCCCCUUUAUAUCCGGGGCCACACACGCGCCACAAUCCCGUGUAAAAUGCGUUGAGAAGUCGAGAGGGAGAGACUGUCCUCAAAGCCGGUCUCAGUUCGAAUUGCAGUCUGCAACUCGCCUGCAUGAAGCUGGAGUUGCUAGUAAUCGCAGGUCAGCCAUACUGCGGUGAAUACGUUCCCGGGGUUUGUACACACCGCCCGUCACGUCAUGGGAGUCGAUAACGCCUGAAGCCGGUGACCUAGCUCGAAAGG
rnacentral:rRNA from 1 species